rnacentral:tRNA from 1 species
AGUUACAAAGCUAUAAGAACAAGCAUGUGCUUUGAAACCACAAAAAAGGAGUUAAAGCCUCCUAGUAACUU